rnacentral:rRNA from 1 species
ACUUAAAUUGAAGAGUUUGAUCAUGGCUCAGAUUGAACGCUGGCGGCAGGCCUAACACAUGCAAGUCGAACGGUAACAGGAAGCAGCUUGCUGCUUCGCUGACGAGUGGCGGACGGGUGAGUAAUGUCUGGGAAACUGCCUGAUGGAGGGGGAUAACUACUGGAAACGGUGGCUAAUACCGCAUAACGUCGCAAGACCAAAGAGGGGGACCUUCGGGCCUCUUGCCAUCAGAUGUGCCCAGAUGGGAUUAGCUAGUUGGUGAGGUAACGGCUCACCAAGGCGACGAUCCCUAGCUGGUCUGAGAGGAUGACCAGCCACACUGGAACUGAGACACGGUCCAGACUCCUACGGGAGGCAGCAGUGGGGAAUAUUGCACAAUGGGCGCAAGCCUGAUGCAGCCAUGCCGCGUGUAUGAAGAAGGCCUUCGGGUUGUAAAGUACUUUCAGCGGGGAGGAAGGUGUUGUGGUUAAUAACCGCAGCAAUUGACGUUACCCGCAGAAGAAGCACCGGCUAACUCCGUGCCAGCAGCCGCGGUAAUACGGAGGGUGCAAGCGUUAAUCGGAAUUACUGGGCGUAAAGCGCACGCAGGCGGUCUGUCAAGUCGGAUGUGAAAUCCCCGGGCUCAACCUGGGAACUGCAUUCGAAACUGGCAGGCUUGAGUCUUGUAGAGGGGGGUAGAAUUCCAGGUGUAGCGGUGAAAUGCGUAGAGAUCUGGAGGAAUACCGGUGGCGAAGGCGGCCCCCUGGACAAAGACUGACGCUCAGGUGCGAAAGCGUGGGGAGCAAACAGGAUUAGAUACCCUGGUAGUCCACGCCGUAAACGAUGUCUACUUGGAGGUUGUGCCCUUGAGGCGUGGCUUCCGGAGCUAACGCGUUAAGUAGACCGCCUGGGGAGUACGGCCGCAAGGUUAAAACUCAAAUGAAUUGACGGGGGCCCGCACAAGCGGUGGAGCAUGUGGUUUAAUUCGAUGCAACGCGAAGAACCUUACCUGGUCUUGACAUCCACGGAAAUUUUCAGAGAUGAGAAUGUGCCUUCGGGAACCGUGAGACAGGUGCUGCAUGGCUGUCGUCAGCUCGUGUUGUGAAAUGUUGGGUUAAGUCCCGCAACGAGCGCAACCCUUAUCCUUUGUUGCCAGCGAUUAGGUCGGGAACUCAAAGGAGACUGCCAGUGAUAAACUGGAGGAAGGUGGGGAUGACGUCAAGUCAUCAUGGCCCUUACGACCAGGGCUACACACGUGCUACAAUGGCGCAUACAAAGAGAAGCGACCUCGCGAGAGCAAGCGGACCUCAUAAAGUGCGUCGUAGUCCGGAUUGGAGUCUGCAACUCGACUCCAUGAAGUCGGAAUCGCUAGUAAUCGUGGAUCAGAAUGCCACGGUGAAUACGUUCCCGGGCCUUGUACACACCGCCCGUCACACCAUGGGAGUGGGUUGCAAAAGAAGUAGGUAGCUUAACCUUCGGGAGGGCGCUUACCACUUUGUGAUUCAUGACUGGGGUGAAGUCGUAACAAGGUAACCGUAGGGGAACCUGCGGUUGGAUCACCUCCUUACCUUAAAGAAGC